CCUACAAUAUGGGGUCAAAAAGCCAAAAUAAGUGAUUUGUUUUUAGCCCUUAUAAAAGAAAACUGAUUCUUGAACCUCAUCCAUGAGUCUCUUAGCGACCUUUCGGACACACGGGACGAUGAUACCUGAGAAGGACCACCAACUUGACCAUAAUAAAUAUAUCAUAAUCCGAUGUAAAACUGAUUCUUGAAUGAAAGAUAGAUAGAUGAAUUGGAACAAUAUUUUUCGGAUAUAUUUACUGUUCUUGCGUCGUAUAUGCAUAUUUACAUCGGAUUAUGAUAUAUUUAUUAUGUUACAAAAGAAUUUUGAUGUGCAUCAGAUUUGAAACUCUCAGCCUGACUAUGUUCUGGACCCUGCCAAUUGGGGGUUAUGCAUUGGCAAUUCUGGCCCCACCACAGGGUAUAAGUGUGGUAUUCUGGCCCACUCUGCAGGGUAUAAGUGCGGUAUUCUGGCCCACUCCGCAGGGUAUAAGUGCGGUUCUGUUUCUGGCCUAGCCACAGGGUAUAAGUGUGGUCAUAGUUAAAGGCUGUUGAGAUGAAUGUAAUUUGUUUCGAAUCAGAUUUAUGAUUAUGUAUAUGGAUAUUUAAAAGAUACGGAUUUCAAUGGAUUUGUGUUUGAAAAGAAAUUGAUUAUGUCUUUAUGCUGAUUCAUCGUAAUUUGUAUUUAUAUUUUAUGUUAUUAUAUGAAUUGUCUAGUUAAAGUAUUUAUUACU
rnacentral:lncRNA from 1 species